UUCCCAUAUAGGUUAUUACAUAGAACAUUGAGUAAACCUCCCUGUGCUAUACAAGAGGUCCACGUUGGUUACCUAUUUUAUAUAUAGUAGUGUGUAUGUGUUAAUCCCAUCCUCCCAAUGUAUCCUUCUCCUUCACAGUUUCUCCUUUGGUUUGAUUUUGCUAUCUAUGAGUUUGUUUCUGUUUUUUUGUUUGUUUGUUAAUUUUAAUUUUUUUUAUUUUUUUACCAUAUGACCCAGCAGUCCCACUCUUGGGCAUAUAUCCAGACAAAACUUUCCUCAAAAAAAUCACACAUGCACUCACAUGUUCAUUGCAGCACUAUUCGCAAUAGCCAAGACAUGGAAACAACCCAAAUGUCCAUCGACAGAUGAUUGGAUUAGGAAGAUGUUUCUGUUUUAUAAAUAUGUUCUUUCAUAUCAUUUUUAUUAGAUUCCAUAAAUAAGUGAUACCCUGUGAUAUUUUUCUUUCUCUGGCUGACUUACUUUUCUUCCUUUACUUGUUAGAGCCAUGUUCCCAGCAUUGCCAUGAGGGAACUGGCUGUUAUUAAUCUCUAGACACUCUGUGCCACAUGUCACAUACCCCAUCCCACUCACGCAGGCCAACUACCUGGGCUUCUGAUCUCUUGGCUUACAAGAAUUAUUUUACCUUUGUUAAAAGUCAGACUGAGUUUCCUCUGCCCUGGAGAGUAAAGUGGUUGGUCCCUCAACAGGGCUCUCCAACUUGAUAGACACCUAGUAUGUGGUAUCUAGUCUCCAAAUUCCCCCUGCUCCCCAGUGAAUUGUGCUUCUCAGCAUGCAUGCCCCUGUAGAACUCCACCCCUUGAAUGGAAGUUGAACUGGGGACUCUCUAUAGGCAAUAAACAACAAAAUUCAGCAGAAGUAGCACUGUCUGAUUUCCAAGGCUUAGUCAGAAAAAGGCUUCAUAGCUUCCAACUUUCUCUCUUGGGAGGUUUGCUCCCAGGGAAGCCAGUCACUGGGAAGAAAUCCAUCUGCCAUGGAUUUUAUGCUGUAAGGAAUUCCAAGCUAGCCAUUUGGAGAAUCCAUGUGAGGAAAGAAUUUGUGAGAACAGCCCUCAGCUAAUCCAGCCACCACAGGAACCAGGCAUGCGAAUAAAAGAGCCUUCAGAAGACCACAGUCACAACCAUUAUCUGUGGAUAAAGACAUGAAGGGUGGCCUGCUGAGGUCAAAAGCCAGACAACCAUAAGAGAUAAUAAUAAAAUGGUUGUUUUAAGACACUAAGUUUAGAGUUGGUCAUUGGUCAGCUGAUCACCAGAACAUGCCUGAACUGGUAUAAAGGCUCCUAUGUUAUGUAUGUCAUCCUGCCUUCCUGUUUUCCUGACUAGGCCUAAGAACCAUAAAUUGUUCAUCUCUGAAUCUCAUAACUUAGCAUAUAGAUGGGCAUCUCAACUCAAAAAGUGUCUCAUAAAUGAAUCAAGGGAUUGUGAAAGAGCAGGAUUCUGAGGAUUAUUACUCCCUCGCGCCCUGGGCCCAUCCUCAAUGAGUUCACUGUCAUCACUUCCAUAAAAACCCAGUUUUACCAGCACUUACUUGGUGACUACACUGUGAUCUGUGAGUUUCCAAGCAUGAGCUUUGGAAUCAGAGAAAAGCAGGUUUAGAUCCCAGCUUUGUUGUUUAGGAGUUGUGUCAUCCUAGUCAAUCAAUUAAAAUUCUCUGAGCCUCAUUUGUUCAUCUAUAAAAUUUCAAUUAUGACAUACCUAACUUCGUCACUUGUUUUUCUUUCAUUUUGUUUGAUAAAAUAUACUUGAUUUACAAGGUUGUGCCAAUUUCUGCUAUAUAGCAAUGUGACCCAGGCAUAAAUAUAU
ensembl:lncRNA